rnacentral:rRNA from 1 species
UACAGAGGGUGCGAGCGUUAAUCGGAAUCACUGGGCGUAAAGGGCGCGUAGGCGGUCGCAUGUGUGUGAUGUGAAAGCCCCGGGCUUAACCUGGGAAGAGCAUCGCAAACUAUGAAACUGGAGUAUAUGAGAGGGUGGCGGAAUUUCCGGUGUAGCGGUGAAAUGCGUAGAGAUCGGAAGGAACGUCGAUGGCGAAGGCAGCCACCUGGCAUAAUACUGACGCUGAGGCGCGAAAGCGUGGGGAGCGAACAGG